rnacentral:ncRNA from 1 species
AAAAACGCAAGGAACAGGAUCAGUAGUAUCGGGAAAACUUCUUUUCAGAGAGCGUGUGUCACAGGCUGAAAGCCACGCAGAAGACCGGGUAUGAAAUUUCACCUGGGAGCGGUCUUUCUGAAUCAAAGUAGGAAAGAACGGAGGGCACCGUUAUAUGCAGAAUGAAGAUGCCGGAGCAUAGUCCGGAAUGUGGGUGGUACCGCGGAAAGUAAUGCUUUUCGUCCCUGUG